GGGCUCCUUGAGAGUCCUGAAGGAACGUUGAAGACGACGACGUUGAUAGGCCGGGUGUGUAAGCGCAGCGAUGCGUUGAGCUAACCGGUACUAAUGAACCGUGAGGCUUAACCUUACAACGCCGAAGCUGUU
rnacentral:rRNA from 1 species